GGCUCUGUGAUAUUCUACCUUUUUUGCCGUAUAUGCUAUGCUGAUUCAAGUUAUGAGCAGAAAUUUUAUAUAAAUGAGAGCU
rfam:Cicer arietinum chromosome Ca5, whole genome shotgun sequence.